AUCCUGACCUUUAACUCAGCCUCAUGUGGAUCCUGUAUGAUUGGGCUCCCACAGUGAACCGACUCUGGGCACGCUGGUUUUCUCAGCUCCUAUCAGAGGCCCACUGAUGUCUGCCUGCAGACGGGCCUCAUCCACCUGCAUCCCUUGGUCACCCGUGAUCCUGGACCAGAGGAGCUGGAAGUUUCAGGGUGGCUCCUUCCCAUCCCUGGAGGAAGAAGUCAGAUGUCCUGGGACUCACCUGCUCUUCUGCCUGCUGCUGCCACACGCCCGAUGCUCCAGCCAUGUGAGAUUCCAUGCUGUUCACUGUGCUCGAGUUCUCCCUGCAUCUUUCCAUCUUUCCCUCUCUUUGGAAAUAAACUCUAUCCUUCCCGGCCUGGAGAGAAAGCCUUCCACUUCAAGUCCUAGCUUAGACGUCAUCUCCUCCAGGAGGCCCUCUCUAGGUGUCUUGGUGGAUUUAAACCUCCCAUCGUUCUCCUGUCUGUCGUCUGAGAAAGGACUGGCAGAGUACUGGCGGUCUGUGUGUCUCCUGGAGGCCUCUGUUGUGGGGCCAGGGAGGUGGCAGGCACUUUGCCAGCGUGUCUUGCUCUGUCUCCACUUCCCAACUGGCUUCUGUGUGGAUGGCUCCUGCCCGCCGCCCUCUGUGACUGCUCAUUUGUCCUUUGAUGGUCAAGGCUGAGAGAAAGUCCCCCUUGGGCUCUUCCGUUCCAGCUUCAGGUCUGCAGUACCCACAAUCCCCCAGGUGGUGGCCAGUCCAGUGGGAACCGAAGGGCACUCGUCCUGGCUGCUCAGGGUGGCCUCCAUUGCUCACACAGGUUCUGAGUAGGAGUCCUGGUGGUCCCACCAGGACAAGGGUCAUGGAAAGCACACAAGCAGUGAGUGUAGUCUAUCUUAAGUUCUCAAAAACAUGGAAACAAAUUUGAAGCAUAAAGCCUUUCAAAGUGACUAUUUGGCAGCAGUUUUCAGGUAAUUGUAUAUCAUAAAAGAGUGGUUGGUGUAAAAAUCAGUGAGGAUUCAGUAAAAGAUUGAAUAGUAACAGGUUUCUUUAAGCUGCAUGGGUGUAUGAUAUCAAACGCUAUAAAGGCUCAAUUUGGUCAUCUUAUUGCGGUAGAAUUUAAAAUAAAGUGAUUCUUGAUACUUUAUUUCCUAAAAGUGUAAGUCAAGAAUUUUUUUU
ensembl:lncRNA